CCAGGACUACUCGUGCUAUUAGUUUAUUUUUGGCUCUUGUGAAAGUGUCCAGUGGCUUGGAUAGUAGUAGUGCCCAAGGAUCUAGUGGGCAUGGUUUGUCUAAAAUUCUUGUGAGGAGGGAUGUGAUAAAUUGCCAGGUUGGUGUUAGUUUGGGACAUGUCCACUAGCAGUGGAGAAAUGUUGCCACUGCCCUGCAUUGUUUCCAACAUAGAUUUGUGGGCAAGCAAUGCAUGAUAGCCAGUCGUGUACCAUCGGAAAGGCAUUUUGUAUGCUUGUUCCUUGUAGGUUACACAAAUUGUGAUGGAUGAUAUAGCGUCCCAUAUAUCUGACCAGUCUUCUGCGUCCUCAGGUGGUCCCAGGUCUGCCUCCCAGGCUGUGAUAUAUGGGAGGGAGAUGGAGGUCGUAUGUGUUGCAAUCAUGAGGUAUAAGUCUGAUAUUUGGCUUUUCCCCACUUCAGGCUUUUUGCAGUAAACACAGUUUUUUCAAAUAAAAUGCAGUGUUUACAAUACAGCCUAGGACUACCUCUGCUGUCCACUCCUCAUAUGGCUACUAGAGGUGCUUCCUGGGUCAGUGCUGCACAGUGUGACUGACAUUCAGUGUCUCCACUCUCUGCUUGCAGACACUGAACUUUCCUCAUAGAGAUGCAUUGAUUUAAUUAAUCUCUAUGAGGAAUUGCUGAUUGACCAGGGCUGUGUUUGACUUGUGCUGGUUCUGCCCCUGAUCUGCCUCCUUAAGACUCAGUCAAUCCUUUUGGCAUUGCGCCACAUGUAACGCAGGAUAGGCAUGGUUCAUUAGGCACUUAUCGAAAGUAGUAUACCUCCUUCUCCAGCACUACACACACCUAAUUAACAGAUUCUGGAAGGACCCCUUUGGGACAGAGAUAGUACAUCUGGGCUAACUGGUAAUAGCAGCUUAUGCCCUGAUGACCCCAUUCUUCUACCUUUCCUCUAUCCUCCUUCUUUCCUACUUUUCUACUUACUCCUUCCACUAGUUACUGGGACUGUGGAACAGCCCCAAAGUUCAAAGUUGAAAAUUACGUUGUGACAACAUAAUAAUAUUAUAGGUGAGGAGAUGAAGGCUUCAUGACAAACUGGUCUGCCGACUAACUUACCUGUUACAAGGCGUGACACUGGGCUUACAUACUGAGCAUCGUGCCUUCCAUAACGCAACACUGGCAAUGUCUAUUUUAUGCUUUGACUAUGUCAUAUGUCUUUGUCUUGGCUUUGUUAUUCUUUCAAAAAUAAAGUAAAAAAAAAAAAAAAAAGACUCAGUCAAUCCUAUGGGGAAGCACUGUGUUUGGCUCAGACCACCACUUUUGAUGAUGUCAGCAGGCAGCAGAAGUUCACAGGCUAACCGGGGAAGAGCCAGAAGCUGCAGAC